rnacentral:rRNA from 1 species
UACGUAGGGUGCGAGCGUUGUCCGGAAUUAUUGGGCGUAAAGAGCUCGUAGGCGGUUUGUCACGUCUGCUGUGAAAACUCGGGGCUCAACUCCGAGCUUGCAGUGGGUACGGGCAGACUAGAGUGCGGUAGGGGAGACUGGAAUUCCUGGUGUAGCGGUGGAAUGCGCAGAUAUCAGGAGGAACACCGGUGGCGAAAGCGGCCACCUGGACUGCACCUGACGCUGACACGCGAAAGCUAGGGGAGCGAACGGG